rnacentral:lncRNA from 1 species
AUAAGAGCAAGAUGGAGCCUAAAGCCAACGGAAGAACCCGAGAGACAAGCGGAACAGCAGGACACAUUCUCCGGCCAGAACCAAAUGGUAUGUACUCGAAAUGGUGCCCUUUAUAAUCCACCAUGUUUGGCUCCAAAAACCUCUCUGGCUUAAACUGUGACGGGUUUGUCCACGUGCUGGGGUCACGCCCAAUUGCCCACACAUUUACUAGAAUUUGUGUUUCUUUAGGAAUAUUGUAGCCUAGCAUAUUGCAAGAGUCCAUGGCCAUAUGUGGGACUAGGAAAGGAAGUGGUGGGUGAAGCCUCAAAGUUUCUUUGAUCACUGCAUUGAGGUAUGGGAGAUUAUCAAAAUCUCUCUCUUUGAGUUUCAUAUUUGGACGGACGACACUUCUAAGCUCCAUCUGAACUUUUUGUAGGGCUUUCGGGUUGUGGAGGAGCUCAGCCAUUGCCCACUCUAAUGUGCUUGUGGUCGUAUCAGUUCCAGCAGUAAACAUCUCCUGAGGUCAUAAAAGUUCUAUCAGUUGAGUAGAAAGUACUAUAUAUUUGAGAUUAUAGGAAGUACUAUUUGAAAUUAAACUAUUGAAUGAGAAUUUCGACAGUGUUUUUGUACGUGAUUAAUGUACAAGCAACAAAUCAAGCACAAAAAUUAAGAGAGGGUACUUACAAACACAAUUAUAUUGAUUGUGGUGGAAGAGAAUUGAGGAGGUCCUUCAAUACCAUCACCACGAUACUCCAAAAGAACAUCCAAGUAGUCCUUUCGGCUCUUCUCUUUUCCAUGAAAUAAUUCAUUAUUCUCCUCCAACCUCUCUUUCAAAAACCCUCCGGCAAUAUCAAAUGCUCUGUUCACAUGAAACUGUGUCUUUCUCCUAAUUCCUUGUGGAUCAAGCCAUUUUAACAAGGGCAAGAAAUCCGCAACAUUAGGCUUCCCAGCAAACUCCAUCACUUUCCCUGCAUGGUAAAAGAACUUGGCCCCUUUCUCCGAUUUCGGAUCCAAAAGAUCCCUCGAAAACAUUAUAUUACCAACCAAAUUAAAAGUCAUCAAGAAAAAGAACCUUCUAAUGUCAACGGCCUUGGUGCCCGAACCUCCAGCAUCUUCAAUGAAUUGCACCAUGCGGUCGAUACACCGGCUACGUACUUCAUGCAUGGAAUCAAGACGGGUAGUCGUGAAGAAUUCCGUUGUGCUUAAUCUCCUUAGCAUGCGCCAGUGCGGACCAUAUUGAGCCGUUAUGAGCGAGCCUUCGUUGCCAAAAUUCCCUUUCAUGGACUCGUAUAUUUUUCUGCCGGCGAGCACCACGUCAUGGUUCUUGAACAUUUCCCGAGCCACCUCGCUUGAUGAGAUUACCACGGUGGUCAUUGAGCCUAUGGAUAUAGUGAUGAUGGGGCCAUAUUUACGACCCAAUUUGGCAAAUGACUCGUGGGGUACUGCCCAACCAAAUUGAAAAAUGUUUCCGAUCACCGGCCACCUCCUUGGUCCGGGUGGCAACUGUCGUACAUCUGUAAGGCGAGGUCUAGUCACUGUGGUCCAUACAACCCAUAGGAGUAAAGCUAUAAUCAGUGUCACCAGUACGGCUUCCAUAUUCUCCCGUACGUCUUUAAUUUUGAUUCGGACAGUAAAAAUGAAAACAGAUCAAAUGUUAAUCUUUGUAUUUUCAAAAUUAGAAAUACAAUUUAAAAAUUUAGACUGAAAUAAAUAUUGUGAUUAAUAGUUUUUAUUAUAAAUUAUACAAUUAUAAUAAUUAUAUUAACUAAAAUUAAAUAAAUUUAUAUCAAUUUGAAAUUUAAUAUAUCGCCGCCAUUAAUUUGACCACAAAAGUCAAAUUGUAUCUUUAAUAUUUAAUUUUAAAAUGAAUGGAGUAUUAUGUAUAAAAGUAAAGCGAGAAAUGUAAAAAUUGUAUGUGCAAUAUACAAGAAAAAUAAACUUUACUAGCCAUAAAUCAUCAAAGAUUAUAGCAGUAUGAAUCUAAUGCAGCAUCAGCACAAUUGAAUUUAGGCAACAAAGUGCAAGGAAUUAUAGUAUAGAUAUAAUAUAAUAAAUAUAUAUUUAUAAUAAACAUAUAUUUAUUAUAUUAUAUCUAUAAUAAAUUUAAAAUAAUGUCAAACUCAAAAUUGAUAUAAAUUAUAAUUUUAGACUAUACAGUUUUGAAAAUGAUAAACUAUCCAUAUAUAAGUAAUAAUAAUUAAAAGAUUUAUUGCUUUUAAUAUUUAGUUGAAUGAAUCACUUCCAUUUUGAUUUAAAAAUAUCUUAAAUCAAUUUUAAAAAAUCAAACUUAAUCAAUCUUAUAUUUUGAAACAGGAGGAAUAUACAUGCAACUAUGUAUUAUUGAUCAAGUAAAGGAAGCUUUCAAAGAGGUUGAUCGCUUGCCUAAUUUACAAUUACACUGGUUUUGCAACGUGAAGUCGUGAAGAGCCAUCGCCAUAAACAAAUAUUUAAACAUAGAAAUUCAAUUGUUUUAACCAAAAAGUAAUUUGAUAAAGAACCUGAAAGUAUAAUUAAACUAACUAGUAGUUAAUUAGUUGAUAAUUGCAUUGCCUUUUUGAGAACUGAUCUAAUGAAUCUUGGUGUUUGUUUACCUGCAGUGGGGUAAGGCAAGGCC